UAACAUUGUAUAGACUGAUCAGGCUAUAUUUGUGUAUUUAGGAAUAUGUGUUCAUGCAGGAGUGUGUGUGUGUGUGUGUGUGUGUGUGUGUGUGUGUGUGUGUUUAGGAAUAUAUACAUGUAAUAACAAUUAAUGGCAAAGAAGGUCAUGAAUUUGAAAGAAAAUGGGAAGCAGUAUAUAUGAGAGAUUUUGGAGAGAGGAAAGAAAAACGAGCAAGGAUGUAAUUAUAUUAUAAUCUCAAAAAUAAUGGAAGUAAUUUUAAAUGGUCAAAGGAUAAAACAUUCAGACAGACCAGAGAGAUACAUGCUCAUACAAAAUGAUAUCUUUGAUCAUGUAAAAUAUUUAUCUAUAGAUAAUUAUUUUCUUUCAAAUUAAGGCAAACAUCCCAGUUUAUUACUGGUGUCUUCGUUUGCUAUCUGUUCCUAUGAUAAAAAAAAAUAACCAAAAAUGAACCUGAGAUGCUGGAAAGGGUUUAUUUCAUUCUACAAUUCUCGGGUCAUACAUCAUCACUGAGGGAAGUCAGGGCAAGAACUCAAGGCAGGAACCAGGAGGCAGGAACUACAACAGGAGCCAUGGAGGAAUGCAGGUUCCUUGCUUGUUCUUUAUGGUAAGCUCAACCUGCAGUUUAUAGAAUACAGGGCCACUGCCCAGAAAUGGCACUUCCCACAGGGGGUCUUGACCCUCACACAUCAAUUAGUAAUCAAGAGAAUGCCACAUUAACUUGCCUACAGGCCAAUCUAAUGGAAGGAUUUCCUCAAAUGAAAUUCUCUCUUCCCAGGUGACUCUAACUUGUAUCAAAUUCAUAUUUUAAAAACCCAUCCAGCACAACUGAGGUGUUCCAAUUAUCUCAUUGAAAACCAAUAUAGACAUGGAAACACCGAGAGUCACAAAUGUCCAUGGAUCACUAAUGGGCCUCACAAAAUACAAUGGCAGCCACCAUUCAGGCCAUCAGCCAUAGCUGGCCAUAACCUGAGCACUGAUGUUGGCUUUAGGAUAGCUUUCUUACUGAGACUGUCCCAGAUCUAGAGACUUGGAAGUGAAUGUCAGAACUAUACUCAUUAGCACACUGACCUUGGUUAACUGAAGGUGUGGUCUAUUAGUACGAGUCAGGAUUAGCAAGGACUAUCCUCCAGUCACAGAAGAACUAAAAUGACCCAGAGUUUACCAAAUCACAAGGAAUCUAAAAUCUACUUUUAUCUCAGCAUUGAGUUAAUCUCUCUUUAAAGUCAUGUUUUUCAUCUUUUUUUUUCUAUUUAUCUACAUCUUUUACUUUUUUUCAAGAUUAAAUUUACAUCGUUUCCCUCUUUUCUCUCCUCCAUCCACCCACCUCCCAUAUAUUCUUCCUUGCUGUCUUUCACACCUGUGGUCUCUUCUACACUGGUUGUUGUUACAUACGUGUGUGUGUGUGUGUGUGUGUGUGUGUGUGUGUGUGUGUGUGUAUUCCUGAACACAACAUGCUCAUCUCGACAAUGUUUCAAUUUUGUUGGACUAAUGUUUUGGUAAUUGGUAUUAUAUAGCUGUCAAACAUAUGAGAACUAGAUUUCAUUGUUCUCUAGCAGGUAGAAAUCACUCACUGGUAAACGGAGUCAUUUUAUUACAAUGUCACAGUUCCCAGAAGCAACUCUUCACCAACAACAUCAGCAGUGGCUGUUUUUAAAAACUGACAAUGCUCAGUGUCUGGGUGGGGAUACUGUGAUGGAAAUAUCCACAUAACACUCAGGGUUUCAAAGAGUAUCGAACAGGACUAUAGACUUUCCUAAACUAUUCUUCUGGGGAAAAAGAAGCAAACAGACAUGUACAAUUAUUAGAGAAGGGGAAAACCCUCUUAGAAACCACUAAAUAACCACUUAAGAGGAAUCUGGAAUAAACUUAAGCUCAUCACGGGGUGUAAUAUUACACAGACUCUAAGAACAACCAUUUAACAAUGUUCUAUUUAUUUAAAAUUUGAUUUUCAUUUCUGUAUGGGACAUCUGAUUGGUAGAUAGGCAGUAUUUAAUGGUACAGAAGCUUGUCAAGUAAACAGUCCUUCCAUGACCCUAGCCAUUUCCUCAGAGAUAAUUAGUAUGCAGCUAUAUAUUGAGCAUAUCAAACAUACUUUAUGCUUUUCUAAGUUCUAAGACAUGUGAACAAAUGUUUAAUUUCUCCUAGUAAAACAAAAGUUCUGCCAUUUUGUGGUGGGACAUCCAGGUUCUCAUCAAACAUCCCUCCUCACUGUCAUUACAGAAACCUCUCAGAUCCUAGGAAGCAAUCUAUUGCUACUCUUUCCCUGGACAGCUUAAGCACUGUUUGACCAAGAUCUUUUUUGCUCAGAACUUGAAUUCCUUUCUCAGAAGAAAAACAUACAUUGAAAAAACAAAAAGCUUUAUACAAACUAUUUUGAAUUUUUGGACUUGACCUAAAAGUAUUCAAUGACUUUCAAAAAUGGUGUAUGAAUGAAUAUAAUGAAUUCUAUAUUAUUGUACCAAAGAGUAAAUGUUGAGGGUGGCUUUUACUCUUGCACAUUGUGUUAAGUAAAACAACCUGACCGAGUAAAUGCUCUGGUAGCAACGGAAGAACUUGGGCUUUUGUUUGAGAAGUACAUAUGUGUCUUCUCUGCCUUGACAUUAUAGGCAGUAGAGUUAGCAUAGCCUAUUUCUGAAGGAAGGUGUAGACAGUCUGUGGAAGGACUCACCAUCAUACACUAUCUGGCAAUACAGAUAUUAGGAAGUAAUCUCCAGAAUAGGUUCAUUCCCCAACAUUGGCUUCUGGGUGUGUUCUGAUAAACAUAAGCACCCAGCAUGUCUAGGCUGGGGCUUUUUCACUGAUACAAGGAAAUGGGACUCAGCUAUAAGGUAGAAAGUGUUCCUGUUUAGUAAUGGCUACCACAUGGUGGCACUGUCUUUACGACAGACACAGGUCAAUCACCUUUCAAUGUGAUUUCAUUUUAUUCUUUAGGCAAUCACAGAAACAGAGAUCAUUACCCCAGUUGAUUAAAGAAGAAACAGACACAAAGGAGUUGAUCUUGACCAAAGACAUGACUCUUAUGUACACUAGUCCAAGUACUGACCAGUGCAUGCCCAAGACCCACACUGCAAACCAGUAAUUCCAAAGGUCUGGUCUUCAGUCAUUUUCUUCCAGACCAGCCUCUACUAUCACAAGGCUUCCUGGGGUCUUGGAAGAUCCAAGUCACAAUUCUACUGUGCCUCAUGGUUGCCCAAGAACAAGAAUCAGGCCAGUAGGUACUUGGUGUAUUGCUAGGUAUUAAAAUAUUUGAAAUAGUGAUAACCCGGUGCUGCAUUUGUUUUACUUUGACACCAUGGCUGGGGAUUGUAUUCAUGAGUGCUGGGAUGGGAACAGUGAGCUUCACACGUGCUAACCAAGUAGUCUACUAUUGGGAACAUCCUAUUUUAAGACCUGAAAAGUUGCUAUUUUCUAGUGACUAUAGUGAAAUGGCAAUCCACUGGUAAAUGGCAGAGAGAAGGAGAAAGGAACUAUAAAUGUUUGCUAUGUAUAUAGUAAUAUAUAUUGAAAAAAAACUUUUUAAAAGUUGAAUAAUAUUUUCCUGGCCAUUAAGCUUGAGUUUGCCCAUAUGUGAAUGGAUCCAAGCACGGUGGCAUUUGUUUAGCAACAACAUCCAUAGUAUUGUGUUACGUGUUAUUUUACAUAAUAAAGAGUACUUAAAGAGGUUCAGUGGCUAUUUUUCAAACUAAUGGCCUGAAAUCUCAAAUAAGUCAAAAAGGGCAUGUGCACUGUGCACAGUAAUCUGUCUCCAAUCUCAAGUGGACUCGUUUCUGAGUAAAUAUUGUUUGAAUAUUUUGCCUGCUUAAAAUAUCCUAAUGAUCCUGCCCUUUUCAGACCCGAAGGAAUAUCAACUCCUCAGCACAGCCAUUUAGACUCUCCCAAAAAAUCAGAAUAAGCACUUUUGUCAAACAUACCUAAAGCAACUGCUUGGUCGACACUUCACCCCGCCAACUGCCUUCAGCAACCAAAAGAUAAUUUUCAGAUUCCUAGUGCUAACUAUUCUUGGACCCAUUAGUUGCAAGGUCACAGGCAAAUUGGAUUGUCUUUUCUAUCAGUGUUUCCAUCCCAGAGUGGAAGAUAUGUACUGACCUUUAUUUACUGCAAUACCCCUGCAGCAUUUAUGCCCAAGUCUUUAGUUGUUAGGGUAUAGUUCUUGAUUUUCAGCCAUUAGACAAUAAUUCAUUAUUCUUCCAGAUCAUAAUAUCAUUAUCCACUAGGAAAAGUGGGAUGUUAAAUACCAAUUGUUUCUACUCAAUGAUUUUUAUCUCAGAAAACAAGAAGAAAAAAUUGUCUGAAUAGGGUGAGAGGAGAAAUCUUCUGAGUGGUUGAUAUGACACACAUCACUGGAAACACCCCAGGCUCUGCUGACCCCCCAAUGCAGCUAUUUUUUAAUAAUGCUUUUCUUAGCAGUUUGAAAAUAACUUUCCUGGUUAAUAGUGCUAAGGACAGCAGUCUGAACACCUAGUAAGCAUCACGGAUGAGAAACAAACAGCGAGUCUAGCGCAUGCGCAGACACUACCCCACUCAUGAAAUUCAGUCCACAUUCAGGACCUUUCCUUUUUCUGUGGCAAAAUAAGGUGAAAGUCCAAGCAUUAUGUGAAGCCCUGCUAUCCUUCAGGGCUAAGGAAGGAGAGCAUCAUGGACAGACAUUUCUUUGCUCUUUUUUUAGAGGCCAGAUAUGAAAUAACAUUCAGCAGUAAGCAUUGCAAAGGAAUUACUGAUAAUAACU
rnacentral:lncRNA from 1 species